AUGUUCAAGGUUUACAAGCUCUUAACGACUGUGUGGAAAAGACUGGAACUCUCAGCUGCUGUAUUCGCCACAAGAACAAGCGAUAUGCUUAUGCGUGAACUAGAACUGGAAGGCCUAUGUGAAUACUUUUGGACUGAUUCCAAGGUUGUUCUUGGCUACAUUAAUAAUGACGUAAGGCGAUUCCACGUAUUUGUAGCCAACCGCGUUCAGCGGAUUAAAUCCAGCACAGAGCCAAGUCAGUGGCAUUAUGUUGCUUCAAAGGAGAACCCAGCUGACCAUGCCUCUCGUGGGCGCACUGUAAAGGAGCUUGUAGAGUCCAACUGGUUUACAGGACCGAGUUUCCUGUGGCAAAGAGAACUCCCUCAGGAAGAAGAAAUUAAGGUGGGAAAGCUUGAUGACGAGGACCCAGAACUCAAAGGAGCACAGGUUCACACUACUGAAGCACAGGAGGAAAGGUCACUGUCAGAUCGUUUACAGAAGUUUUCAGACUUAAGGACAGCGGUAAGAGCCAUAGCAAGACUUAAGCGGUGUGCAAAGGAGAUAAAGGGUCCAAAGACAGGAUCUGAUAAAGUUACUACACUCGAAGAAAGACAGGAAGCUGAACAAUUCAUAAUCCAUGCAGUUCAAGGAGAAGCGUUCAGUGAAGAAAUAAAAUCUCUGAAGCAAAGCAAAGAGCUGCCUGAGAAUAACCCAACUAAUGCGCACAAGUUAAGUCCAUUCAUCGAUAGUCACGAUAUCCUGAGGGUGGGAGGGAGAUUGACAGAUGCAGCACUUCAUCCCCACGUGAAACACCCAGCUAUCCUUCCAAAAGGGCAUCAUGUGUCUCGCCUAUUAAUUAAGCACUUCCACAAGAAGGUGCUACAUCAAGGUCAUGGAAUGACCAUCAAUGAACUACGCUCCAACGGAAUUUGGAUUCUUGGUUGUAGCAGUGAAGUGUCAUCCUUUAUCUUCCGAUGCGUUAAGUGCAGGAAGCUUAGAAAGUGUACUCAAGAACCAAAAAUGUCCGACCUUCCACUAGAGAGGAUGGAAGCCACCCCUCCUUUUACAUACAGUGGUAUGGACUGUUUCGGACCAUUUUAUGUGAAGGAUGGCAGGAAAGAGCUCAAGAGAUAUGGGGUCCUAUUUACCUGCAUGUGCUCAAGAGCUAUCCACAUCGAGAUGUUGGAUGACCUCACCUCUGAUGCCUUCCUCAACGCGCUGCUUUGCUUUAUUGCUUUAAGAGGCAACGUAAGUCAGCUUCAAAGUGACCAAGGCACGAAUUUCGUGGGUGCACGAAAUGAAUUCAAGGAACUUAUGAAAGAAAUCGAGCAAGAACGUGUCAAAGAACUGGGAUGCAGCUUUGUCAUGAACCCACCUGCUUCCAGUCACAUGGGUGGUGUCUGGGAGAGGCAGAUACGAACGGUCCGAAGUGUCCUUACAGCCAUCCUAGACCAGUCUGCAAGAAGACUAGACAGUUCUUCACUGAGAACCUUCCUAGAUGAAGUAAUGGCUAUAGUGAAUAGUCGACCGUUGACCACAGAGCAUCUCAAUGAUCCAUCAGGACCAGAACCGUUGACGCCAAAUCAUAUUCUGACAAUGAAAUCGUCAAUCAUUGAACCGCCACCUGUAGAGUUCGUAAGAGAAGAUCUCUAUCUGCAGAAGUGGUGGAAGAGAGUUCAGUUCUUGUCAAAUGAGUUCUGGAACAGGUGGAGAAAGGAGUAUUUGCUGAGUCUGCAACAGAGAAGUAAAUGGAACAAGGACAGGAGAAAUGCUAAAGUGAAUGACAUAGUCCUGUUACAAGAUGAUGCCACAUCCAGAAAUCAGUGGAAGAUGGCAAAGGUUACCGAAGUCUUCCCAGGAGUUGAUGGGAAAGUCAGAAAGCUCAAACUACUGCUUAGUGACACAACACAAGACAGUAAAGGCACAUACACAACUAGACCAUUUUAUUUGGAAAGGUCCAUACAUAAAACGGUACUGUUGCUUGAAGCUGAGUAUAAGUUAAAUUCAUUUGCGAAAGUGAUGUAA
rnacentral:lncRNA from 1 species